rnacentral:lncRNA from 1 species
UUAGAUUAAGAAUUCGCCAGUCCUCCAGGUAGAAUCCGGAAGGAGAUUUGUGUAGAAGCUGUUUAUUAAAGAAGUGUUCCCAUGGAAACCUGGUUCCAGGGUCAAUAGAUUUGGACGAGCAAUCAUGUAAUUGCAGACAGAGCUCCCGUGUCAGUCUGAUCCCACAGACAGCUCCAUAAUAUGAAUUGUAGAUCUGAAUCUGUCCUUACUAAGGCAAAGGAACUGACUUUUGCAUUUGAUCAUCAAGUUAGUGAACGAGAGCCUGCGUGAGAGCUGUGACCUUCCAGAAACUUCUUGCUCUGCACUUCCGGGACAACUGGGUCUGGCUAAGGUCAGACAGUCACAUGCAGAAGAUAGUCUUCUAUCAAGAAAACACAUAGAUCAGCAUAAAGGGAAAGACAGAGUUGCUUGACUCUUACCAUAUCUGUAAAUCACAUCUGAAAUGGGAGCCCAGCAAGAAGGAUGUAGAUAACAGCACAUCAAAGGAAGAACAGAGUCUAAAAAUAUUUGGUUUGAAAUCUCAUUCACAAUAUGCCAAGUAUCAUAUUACUUGACAUCCUUUCCUGACUGCCUUUUGAAAAUUAUAAUUAGAAUGACUUCCCACUCACAUGCGGUGGAGAAGAAGGUGUGCCCAGAGAUGUGUUUCCAUGCUCAUCAUAAAUCCUCUCAGGGUGAAGAUAAAGACCAACCAUCAUAUUGGGGAUGAGAGACCAGCAAGCACAAAGGGCUAGGGUUAGGUGGGAAAGAUAUGGCGGAACAACUGCAUUUCGCUGAACUUUCUGUACAUGCAUGAAAUAAAUUU